AACGAACGCUGGCGGCAGGCUUAACACAUGCAAGUCGAGCGCCCCGCAAGGGGAGCGGCAGACGGGUGAGUAACGCGUGGGAAUCUACCCAGCUCUACGGAAUAACCCAGGGAAACUUGGACUAAUACCGUAUACGCACCUCGGGGGAAAGAUUUAUCGGAGUUGGAUGAGCCCGCGUUGGAUUAGCUAGUUGGUGGGGUAAUGGCCUACCAAGGCGACGAUCCAUAGCUGGUCUGAGAGGAUGAUCAGCCACACUGGGACUGAGACACGGCCCAGACUCCUACGGGAGGCAGCAGUGGGGAAUAUUGGACAAUGGGCGAAAGCCUGAUCCAGCCAUGCCGCGUGAGUGAUGAAGGCCCUAGGGUUGUAAAGCUCUUUCACCGGUGAAGAUAAUGACGGUAACCGGAGAAGAAGCCCCGGCUAACUUCGUGCCAGCCGCCGCAGUAAGAC
rnacentral:rRNA from 1 species